GUUGUUUAGUUGAAAAUCAAUUCAAUAGUUUUUGAUUUUAAGUAGUAUUUGACUUCAUCAGCUUGCUGCUUUUUUCUCUGAAAUUAUUGAAUGCACUUUUCAGUUAACAAGUCAACAUCAGUUUCUUUUGUUGUAAAAAGGUGAGAGGAAGGUGGCUUGCGCUUCGGCUCAAGUGUUUAUAGCCUUUUACCCCUGCAAUCGAAGAGACUGAGGUCUGCAGCGUAGAUCCUUCGGGGUUAGAUACAUUUGUGCUAAGCUAUAGCCUUGUAUAGACAACUUGUUGACUAUGCUCAGUCAUGUAGCUUACUCGCUUAUGCUAUUUUACCUAC
rnacentral:rRNA from 1 species